rnacentral:SRP_RNA from 1 species
GCUGGCCUUGGUGGCUCAUGCCUGUAAUCCCAGCACUUUGGGAGGCAGGCCGAUCACUUGAGUCCAUUAGUCUGAGACCAACCUGGGCAACAUGGUGAAACCCUGUCUCCACUAAAAAUACAAAAAUUAGCUGGGUGUGGUGGCACAUGCCUGUNNNNNNNACCCAGCUAAUUUUUGUAUUUUUAGUGGAGACAGGGUUUCACCAUGUUGCCCAGGUUGGUCUCAGACUAAUGGACUCAAGUGAUCGGCCUG